rnacentral:rRNA from 1 species
GACGUAGGGGGCCAGCGUUGUUCGGAAUUACUGGGUGUAAAGGGUUCGUAGGCGGUGCGGCAAGUUGGGAGUGAAAUCUCUGGGCUCAACCCAGAGGCUGCUUCCAAAACUGCCGUGCUUGAGUGUGGGAGAGGCGCGUGGAAUUGCAGGUGUAGCGGUGAAAUGCGUAGAGAUCCGGAGGAACAUCAAAGGCGAAGGCAGUGUCCUGGCGAGUAACUGACGCUGAGGUGCGAAAGCUAGGGGAGCGAACAGG